rnacentral:rRNA from 1 species
GAUGAACGCUGGCGGCGUGCCUAAUACAUGCAAGUCGAGCGAACAGACGAGGAUCUUGCUCCUCUGACGUUAGCGGCGGACGGGUGAGUAACACGUGGAUAACCUACCUAUAAGACUGGGAUAACUUCGGGAAACCGGAUCUAAUACCGGAUAAUAUAUUGAACCGCAUGGUUCAAUAGUGAAAGACGGUUUUGCUGUCACUUAUAGAUGUUUCCGCGCCGCAUUAGCUAGUUGGUAAGGUAACGGCUUACCAAGGCAACGAUGCGUAGCCGACCUGAGAGGGUGAUCGGCCACACUGGAACUGAGACACGGUCCAGACUCCUACGGGAGGCAGCAGUAGGGAAUCUUCCGCAAUGGGCGAAAGCCUGACGGAGCAACGCCGCGUGAGUGAUGAAGGUCUUCGGAUCGUAAAACUCUGUUAUUAGGGAAGAACAAAUGUGUAAGUAAAUAUGCACGUCUUGACGGUACCUAAUCAGAAAGCCACGGCUAACUACGUG